rnacentral:rRNA from 1 species
GGUUGCGAUCAUACCAACGUUAAUGCACCAAAUCCCACAAGAAGUGCGUAGUUAAGCGCGCUUGGGCUAGAGUAGUACUGGGAUGGGUGACCUCCCGGGAAGUCCUAGUGUUGCACCCU